rnacentral:rRNA from 1 species
UACGAGUGCUCCAAGCGUUAUCCGGAAUUAUUGGGCGUAAAGGGUGUGUAGGCGGUUGUGUUAGUCUUCUGUUAAAUUCUUCGGCUUAACCGGGGGUCUGCAGGGGAAACGGCACAACUAGAGGAUGCGAGAGGUAUAUGGAACUCAUGGAGUAGGGGUGAAAUCCGUUGAUAUCAUGGGGAACACCAAAUGCGAAGGCAAUAUACUGGCGCACUCCUGACGCUGAGACACGAAAGCGUAGGUAGCGAAUGGG